GCCUCGGUGGUGUAGUGGUAGAGCACGCCUCCCCGGUAUGGAUGAAACGCGAGCUCGAUUCAUGGCUAAGGCC